rnacentral:rRNA from 1 species
CCUACGGGCGGCAGCAGUGAGGAAUAUUGGUCAAUGGUCGGGAGACUGAACCAGCCAAGUCGCGUGAGGGAGGAAGGUCCAGAGUAUCGUAAACCUCUUUUGUCAGGGAACAAAGACUGGGACGCGUCCACGGAUGAGUGUACCUGAAGAAAAAGCAUCGGCUAACUCCGUGCCAGCAGCCGCGGUAAUACGGAGGAUGCGAGCGUUAUCCGGAUUUAUUGGGUUUAAAGGGUGCGCAGGCGGUCUGUUAAGUCAGCGGUCAAAGCCCGGGGCUCAACCCCGGCCCGCCGUUGAGACUGGCAGUCUAGAGUUGGAGAGAGGUAUGCGGAAUGCGCGGUGUAGCGGUGAAAUGCAUAGAUAUCGCGCAGAACUCCGAUUGCGAAGGCAGCAUGCCGGCUCCACACUGACGCUGAGGCACGAAAGCGUGGGUAGCGAACAGGAUUAGAUACCCGUGUAGUC